GAUGAGCGCUGGCGGCGUGCUUAACACAUGCAAGUCGAACGGAAAGGCUCCUGCUUGCAGGGGUACUCGAGUGGCGAACGGGUGAGUAACACGUGGGUGAUCUGCCCUGCACUUCGGGAUAAGCCUGGGAAACUGGGUCUAAUACCGGAACGGACGACGGAUUGGAUGCCAUUGUGGAAAGUUUUUUCGGUGUGGGAUGAGCUCGUGGCCUAUCAGCUUGUUGGUGGGGUAAUGGCCUACCAAGGCGACGACGGGUAGCCGGCCUGAGAGGACGUUCGGCGGCAUGGGAGGUGGUACAGGGACAAUGGGACUGCGGGACGGCGCAGUGGCCUACUGGAGACAGCAGGCGAGAGUAUUGCACAAUGGGCGCAAGCCUGUGGCAGCGGCGUCGGGUGGGGGAUGACGGCCUUCGGGUUGUAAACUCCUUUCGCUAAGUACGAAGCGCAAGUGACGGUACCUGAAGAAGAAGCACCGGCUAACUACGUG
rnacentral:rRNA from 1 species